rnacentral:rRNA from 1 species
UACGUAGGGGGCGAGCGUUGUCCGGAAUUACUGGGCGUAAAGGGCGAGUAGGCGGUUGCGUAAGUCAGAUGUGAAAUACCAGGGCUUAACCCUGGGGCUGCAUUUGAAACUGCGUAACUUGAGUGCAGGAGAGGAAAGUGGAAUUCCCAGUGUAGCGGUGAUAUGCGUAGAUAUUGGGAGGAACACCAGUGGCGAAGGCGACUUUCUGGACUGUAACUGACGCUGAGGCGCGAAAGCGUGGGGAGCAAACAGG